UUCAAUAUCUUCACAACAUUUUUAGGGGUCAUAAGCCUUGAGUUAAAUAAAUUUUUCAGAGAUUUCCACCUAUGUAUACUCACAAAUACAUUAAUCCUUUAACCAUUUUGUCACUAAUCAGCCAAAACCUUAAGGGGGCAUAAUCCCACAAGCAGGAGUCAAGGAUCUCCCACAAUCUCCUCUUUAGAUCCACUGCCACCGACAACUGGUUGCCAUGACAUGGGAUUUCCAUGCGAUGGAUCUUCACCCUUUCCUUGCUUGUGAGAUAAUGGUGUUGUAUUGUUGUCAACUUUUCUCCA
rnacentral:lncRNA from 1 species